rnacentral:rRNA from 1 species
GACGAACGCUGGCGGCGUGCUUAACACAUGCAAGUCGAACGGAAAGGCCCUGCUUUUGUGGGGUGCUCGAGUGGCGAACGGGUGAGUAACACGUGAGUAACCUGUCCCUGACUUUGGGAUAACUUCAGGAAACUGGGGCUAAUACCGGAUAGGAGCUCCUGCUGCAUGGUGGGGGUUGGAAAGUUUCGGCGGUUGGGGAUGGACCCGCGGCUUAUCAGCUCGUUGGUGGGGUAGUGGCUUACCAAGGCUUUGACGGGUAGCCGGCCUGAGAGGGUGACCGGCCACAUUGGGACUGAGAUACGGCCCAGACUCCUACGGGAGGCAGCGGUGGGGAAUAUUGCACAAUGGGCGGACGCCUGAUGCAGCGACGCCGCGUGCGGGAUGACGGCCUCCGGGUUGUAAACCGCUUUCGCCUGUGACGAGGCGUGAGUGACGGUAAUGGGUAAAGAAGCACCGGCUAACUACGUG